rnacentral:rRNA from 2 species
GCUAAUACAUGCAAGUUGAGCGAUGAAGAUUGGUGCUUGCACCAAUUUGAAGAGCAGCGAACGGGUGAGUAACGCGUGGGGAAUCUGCCUUUGAGCGGGGGACAACAUUUGGAAACGAAUGCUAAUACCGCAUAAUAACUUUAAACAUAAGUUUUAAGUUUGAAAGAUGCAAUUGCAUCACUCAAAGAUGAUCCCGCGUUGUAUUAGCUAGUUGGUGAGGUAAAGGCUCACCAAGGCGAUGAUACAUAGCCGACCUGAGAGGGUGAUCGGCCACAUUGGGACUGAGACACGGCCCAAACUCCUACGGGAGGCAGCAGUAGGGAAUCUUCGGCAAUGGACGAAAGUCUGACCGAGCAACGCCGCGUGAGUGAAGAAGGUUUUCGGAUCGUAAAACUCUGUUGGUAGAGAAGAACGUUGGUGAGAGUGGAAAGCUCAUCAAGUGACGGUAACUACCCAGAAAGGGACGGCUAACUACGUGCCAGCAGCCGCGGUAAUACGUAGGUCCCGAGCGUUGUCCGGAUUUAUUGGGCGUAAAGCGAGCGCAGGUGGUUUAUUAAGUCUGGUGUAAAAGGCAGUGGCUCAACCAUGUAUGCAUGGAAACU